rnacentral:tRNA from 1 species
GGGGCUAUGGUGUAGCUUGGUAGCAUACGAGCUUUGGGAGCUUGUGACCCCGGUUCAAAAGCGCAAGUGAGGCCUG